AGGAAAUCCAGCUGGAAAACAAGAGAUCUAAUCUAUAUCAAUCAUGUGAUUAGGUGCAAUAUUCAUUUACGUAUAUAAAUAUUAUCUACACAUACAUGUUAACUCUGGGAUUAUCUUUCUUCCUUCAAGAGUUGAAAAUAUAAGAAAUAGAAAUGAAGUGUGUUUUACUACAUGCCAGCAUACAUUUUUUAGUCUUAUGAAGAAGACAUAUUAUUACAGUAAAAAUCUGUUUUUUGUUUUUUUUUACCACCCUUCAUUCUUUUUUAGUGUUUCUGGUAGGAAAAUAUUUCCAAUUUCUUUUAGAAAAUCAUUCUUCCCCUAUUCAUGACAUAUCCUUAGAAGCAGACCUAGAUUGUCCUAAGGCGGUCAGUAUAUUUCACUCCAUUGGUCACAGUAAUCAUUUUAGAGAUAAAUGAAUAAGCACAUGACCUCCAGUAGUCCAAUUCAAGUUUAAAAGACCCAAUUCUAGAAUUUCUGUUUUUAUUUUUGAUAAAAAACUUUUUUUUCCUUCUAGCCUUCAACUGGUAAGUUGAGAAGGCAGAAGCUUCUACCUCAUGAAUGUUAAGCCAAUACAUAGAGGAGAGCAAACAAAACCUAGAUACAGAACAAAAGUUUUGGGGUCCUACGCAAGAAUUUGCUGAAGUUAAAAGAGAAAUGAGCUACUAUUACACACGACAUGGAUGAAUCUCAAAAUCAUCAUGUUGAAAGAAGCCAGACACAAAAGAGGAGAAGACUCGACAUUUGCAUUGGCUUCUCAAAAGGGUUUCAACUACACAAAAAGUGUUUAAAAAUCCAGUUAUAUGGAGAAACAAGAUCAAUUUAUUGUCAAAAGACAGAAUUAUUCCUCUUUUGCAUCAACCAGGCUUGACAUAACUGUAAUCUCAUGGAAAUGUCUGCUACUGUAAUCAAGAAUUUGCAUGUAGAAGGAAUGCAUCACAGAAUAUAUGACAUCUUGCUAUGUCUACUGUACUAAAGAAUUAAAGAGGUUUGAAAAUAAAUACUGAAACAAAUCAGAAAGGAACCUCAAUUUUAUUAAACUAAAAUAUCAUAGCUAGGAACAUCUCAAAUUGAGAAUAAAGUUUAUAUAAUAUUUCAGAGUCAUAUGAAUGUCAUAAAAUAAUAAAAAUGUACCAUAUAAUUAUUUAAAAAGCACAAGUCUAUAAAUUGGAAACAAUGACCAGCUAAGAGAUGACAGGUAGGCUGAAACUCAACCUAUUUCCAAACCACUAAAGAAGACAUAAAUCAACUUAAAGGGAAAAUUACAUUUGUAGGUUUAUAAACAUAUUUUUAAAAACCACUCCUAUAAAGCAAAAGAUAUAAAAAGAAAACUUGAGAAAUGAUAAAAGGAUAAAGGAUAAAAAAUUAACAAAGCUAUAUGUUAGGCCACUUUGGUUCAUGCAAUUUUCUUUUGUUUCUCUCUAAAAUGGUAUAUCAAUUUUUAUUUUUCACAAACUUCUUUCAAUUAAGAAAGAAAAUACAUUU
rnacentral:lncRNA from 1 species